CCUACGGGGGGCAGCAGUAGGGAAUCUUCCACAAUGGGCGAAAGCCUGAUGGAGCAACGCCGCGUGGGUGAAGACGGUCUUCUGAUCGUUAAACCCUGUUGGUAGAGAAGAAAGUGCGUGAGAGUGACUGGUCACGUUUCGACGGUAUCUAACCGGAUAGCCACGGCUCAGUACGUGCCAGCCGCCGCGGUAAUACAUAGGUGGCUUGCGUUAUUCGGAUUUGUUGGGGGUAAACGGAACGCGGGCGGUCCUUUAAGUCUGAUGUGAAAGCCUUCGGCUUAAACGGAGUAGUGCAUUGGAAACUGGGAGACUUGAGUGCAGAAGAGGAGAGUGGAACUCCAUGUGUAGCGGUGAAAUGCGUAGAUAUAUGGAAGAACACCAGUGGCGAAGGCGGCUCUCUGGUCUGUAACUGACGCUGAGGUUCGAAAGCGUGGGUAGCAAACAGGAUUAGAUACCCCAGUAGUC
rnacentral:rRNA from 1 species